UCUACAAAAAUGUCUCUCCCUCUAUCAGGAGACCAUUUAAUCAAACUGGCAUCAACACACUUCCACUUAGCCAACUUCCUCUGCACUUUGCUGUCAAAGUUGACCCCGCUGUGGAAUCUUGUGAUGAGGGAGUAUACUUGCCAAAGUUCCUUCACCCUACCCCAGAGAAUGGAGAACAAAUUCAAGCUAAGAUCAACCAGGAGCUUGAGAUCAUAAUCAGUGCAACAGCCUCUGCCACUGUGGUUCAUGAUAUCAUCAUAAGUGGACCCCUGAACAUCACAGUCAACAAGUACAACAAUGGUUCUGAACAGUUUGUUCUGAGAUGGACUCCAAGGAUCGAUGAUCUUGGGGAGUAUUUUCCCUUCUGUUUCAUUGCUGAAAGUCACACAGUAAAGUAAGAAUAUUAAGGAGGACACUGUUUUUCUUGUAUACUUUUUGCG